AUUCUGCUUGCUGGAGCUCCAGGCAGCAUUUAGAGUCACCUGUAUGUAGAUGCAUGACUUGACAUGGCACACGUCCUGAAUGCACAGCCAAAGUGGGGAUAUGCUGAAGAACUCUUAUGAAGCUGAGGAUUUCACUGUCGGAGAAGCAACCAGCUCCAGCUACUGUGAGUCUAAAAGAGAGAAAGAAAUCAUCCCUUCUUUUCCUUCAAGACCAGCUGUCCUGUUUUCAGGAGAUACUUGCCAGCAAAGCAAACCCAGUGCGCAGCUACCACUGAAGACUAAAAUCACUGUGAGCAGAGCAAAGCCUCCAGCAGAGAUGGUAGCAGAAGAACCAGCCUUCGGCAUUAUGAUCCUGGCAAAAACAAUUUCAAAAUACACUUUAUCUAGCGAGUGUGCCCGGGAGCUACACAGAGAAUUGCUUCAUGCAGCCUUUUUAUGGAGAGAGGAACUGAGUAGUCUCUGAAAUAACUCACGCAUCUUUUAACAGCCUCUAUUACUCACUAUUGGAUGGACAGCAAUGUUCAUUGUUUCACGCUGUCAGCCCAAUCCUUCUACUCUAAAUUAAAUCACUAAAAAGGAAGUUUCACAGCUUCAGAGCCCUGGUUUGCCCGUUCAGCCAAAUCCCUUCCGUCCUCCAUCAGAUUUGUCUCAUAGCAGCCCAGCAGCUACUGAAGUCGCUGACAUUUUCCCAUCAAAGAAUCAUACAUUUACAGCAUUGUUAAAGGUGGAAAAGACCUCUAUGAUCACACAGUCCAACCCCAACCCACCUCACCAUGCCCACAUUGCUCAGUGUCACAUCUCCAUGGUUCUUUAGCACCUCCAUGGACAGUGACUCCACCACCUCCCUGGGCAGCCAGUGCUACUACAUCACUACUCUUUCUGAGAGGAUUUAUUUACCUCUAAUAUUCAACCUGAAAUGGUGCAAGGCAUCCUGCACAGUGCUCCAAGAACCAAAUCUCACCCAGUGGGAAAUAACCAGCAGGUCAGGGAGACCCUGGGGGCACAGAGUGAAGGGUUCAAGCCUUG
rnacentral:lncRNA from 1 species